CCAGCACAGCCAGCAAACAGAGCCAUGUAGGUCCCGUCAGGGAACCAAACCCAGGCUGCUGAAGCAGAGUGUGCUGAACUUAACCACUAGGCUACCAUCGCUGGCCCAUUCUUGAAGGGUUUUUAUCUCCUGGCUGGUGAAGAGCCUAUCUUUAGAGAGGGCAGUCAUCUCAGUUGAUGUCUCAGGGUUGAAAUCAGGGGAAAGUGCCAUCUGGAUUCAUUAUGAAUGUCUGGAAUCCCUAUCUCUUUCAGACUCGAAAGAUCUCAUCUCUUUGUCCCGGUCUUUAAUUAUCCCAUCAAGGAAAAGAACCGGUGAGGCAAGAGGCACUUGUGGGGUUCCGGGAGAGAGGCGGAGGCAGGAAAACAAAGCAAGAGCAAGAGAAAGAAGGCGAGGGAGAAAAGUGUUUCAGUUGUGCUUGCUGUUUCGCUCCUCUCACCAGUUUGGAGAGGAGGUAGGGACACACAUGCUGGCUUUCUCUCCAGCGCAGCUGAGCCCUUUAUGAAAUCACUGCAGAGGCAGGGGCGGCAGACACUAUUUUUAUCACCAAAUUGAUUCAGCUGCAGUAGCUGCUGUGCCUCUGACUUCAUUGCUGCCCAGCCCUCCCCCUCGCUGUCCCCACUCGCUGCUUCCUCCCGAUUUGGAGACUUAUCUUCAGCUCCCCUCCGCACCGCUCCCUUCUCUGCGGCCGGGCUGGGCUGGGCGCGGGCAGGGCUCCUGCAGGAUACUGAUAGCGACAGGAGCAGAUCGUGCCGCAGGCUAUCACAGCCUCCAGAGGCGAGCGGCCAGGCAUCGGGGAGCCGCUCGGCUGCGCCAGCAUCUAAUUCUUCACCCUCUAAUUUCCCCUACCCUUGGGAACAGGGUUCCACAAAGAAAUUUCCUCAAUUGAAAUGCUGCGCGCCUGAACAUUUGCCAAGUGUGCCCCAUCUGACGAAGGUCUAUGCUUUCAGACGUUGUUGCUAGGAAGAAAGGACGUUGACACGCUGAGCUUUUCAUCAUCUUCUCCUUCCUAGGAGUUGAACUACAGUAUGAAAUACUGAUAACCCUGAAGAAGAGGCAAAGAUCAUGUGACAAAGUGGCUUCAAAUUUGAAGUAGGAAAGACAAAAAUCACAACAACAAAUUGGAGCCAUUUAAAAGAAAAGCCUAGGGAGGAUUGGCUAUCACUCCUAGGUCUGCCCUGGGCUGUGCAAACGGCGCCCCCUGGAGUUGGUCAUGCACAGCAGCCCAGAUCACCACCAACUGGAGGAGAAAACAGCUGGGUCUUAUCUAAACGCAGAGCGGAAGGUAAAGCCUGAAAACAAGAUGGAAAAUCAACGGGAUGCAGGGGCUCCUAAGGAGAACAACUUCUUGUAGAUCCUCAAAUCAUACCUCAUGAGUGACUUUAAACUCAGAGUUUGGGAGGAAAAGCAUGAAUCAGGCCAACUCAGUAUUGCUUUCUAGUCUCUGCAUUCUAGUUGAGUGCCCCUGACUCUAAAUUGUCUCACCUUUAAAUUUAUAAAAAAUGAUAACUAUUUCUCAGGAUUGUUGAGAGGAAUCAAUGAGAGAUGUAUAAAUCACCUAGAGGGUGCCUAGGACACAGUUAAACUUUCCUGAAGAUAGGUAUCUGUGUGUUUAAAAUGUAUGUGAAACGGCAAAUGGGCUAUUCUGGUCCAAGAUCAGGAACAGGAAGAACAUUUAUCAGACCGCCAUGGAGUCUCCAUCCAGGUCCCCAAGAAUUAUCAUCCCUCUCUUGAAAAAAAACAGAAACUGUUUCCAGCUCUCCAGUGAGAGAGACAGUAAAUUCACAGAUGGAAUAUUGCCCGUUCCUCUGCCAUCAGUCUAGUUGCAGAUGUGAAAUACAAACUGAGCUGGGGCUUCUCAGAGAAGGUUUAUAUGGAUUUAGUGAGGUGCACAUCCUAGUGCAAAGGUAAACUUUGAUUUUUGUUACUGAUAUAAACACAUUAUUUCAGGCCUAAGCCCCUGUCCCCUCCUACUUUUAAUCCUGCUUUCUUUCUAGACCCCAGUAAAUGGAGCAAUUUUUACUGGUUACUUCAUUCCCAAUAUGUUUCGCCUCCUUUUCACAGGUGUGUGAUAUAUUCCAGGCUUAAGUAAGCUGCAGAUAUUUAUAGGCAACUUCCUUUUCCAGUUGCACCAUGUAACGAUUACAUAGAAUGUCAAGAAGUCCUAUUUUUUUCUCUUGGCUUCUUCUAUUCAGGGAGAAGGUUUUCUUCUAAUUUUCCUCAAAACAGUUGUCUCUCCCACUUUCUUAGGUAGCAAAGUAAAUGGAAAAGGAACUUUCUCAAACAAGCCAAAUCAAGACAACUGUUUUAAAAGGUUUUUAAGAAAUAAAGAAGAUGGUAUUUGAAGGGAAAGAAACAAAUGCCUUCUAAAGCUUAAACUAAAUCCCCUGAGAGACAGGGGUGAGCAGAUGCCUUUUCUUCUCCCCAAAACACCUCCAGGGCCUCUAAGGAUCUCGCUGACUUAAUCCCUUGCUGGCGCACACUAGCUAAGAAAUAAGAAAGA
rnacentral:lncRNA from 1 species